rnacentral:rRNA from 1 species
GACGAACGCUGGCGGCGUGCUUAACACAUGCAAGUCGAGCGAGAAACCUUCGGGUUUCUAGCGGCGGACGGGUGAGUAACACGUGGGUAACCUGCCUCAAAGUGGGGGAUAGCCUUUCGAAAGGAAGAUUAAUACCGCAUAACAUUGUAGCUUCGCAUGGAGCCACAAUUAAAGGAGAAAUCCGCUUUGAGAUGGACCCGCGGCGCAUUAGCUAGUUGGAGAGGUAACGGCUCACCAAGGCAACGAUGCGUAGCCGACCUGAGAGGGUGAUCGGCCACAUUGGAACUGAGACACGGUCCAGACUCCUACGGGUGGCUG